rnacentral:rRNA from 1 species
AUCCUGGCUCAGGAUGAACGCUAGCGGCAGGCCUAAUACAUGCAAGUCGAACGAUAUCUGAGAGCUUGCUUUCAGAGAAAGUGGCGCACGGGUGCGUAACGCGUAUGCAACCUACCUUAAUCAGGGGGAUAGCCCGAAGAAAUUCGGAUUAACACCGCAUAAAAACACAGGAUAGCAUUAUCCAAUGUUCAAAUAUUUAUAGGAUUAAGAUGGGCAUGCGUGUCAUUAGCUAGUUGGCGGGGUAACGGCCCACCAAGGCGACGAUGACUAGGGGAUCUGAGAGGAUGACCCCCCACACUGGUACUGAGACACGGACCAGACUCCUACGGGAGGCAGCAGUAAGGAAUAUUGGUCAAUGGAGGCAACUCUGAACCAGCCAUGCCGCGUGCAGGAAGACAGCCCUCUGGGUCGUAAACUGCUUUUAUUCGGGAAUAAACCUAGAUACGUGUAACUAGCUGAAUGUACCGAAGGAAUAAGGAUCGGCUAACUCCGUG